GACGAGCGCUGGCGGCGCGCCUAACACAUGCCAGUCGAACGAGCGAGAGAGAGCUUGCUUUCUCGAGCGAGUGGCGAACGGGUGAGUAACGCGUGAGGAACCUGCCUCAAAGAGGGGGACAACAGUUGGAAACGACUGCUAAUACCGCAUAAGCCCACGGCUCGGCAUCGAGCAGGGGGAAAAGGAGCAAUCCGCUUUGAGAUGGCCUCGCGUCCGAUUAGCUAGUUGGUGAGGUAACGGCCCACCAAGGCGACGAUCGGUAGCCGGACUGAGAGGUUGAACGGCCACAUUGGGACUGAGACACGGCCCAGACUCCUACGGGAGGCAGCAGUGGGGAAUAUUGCACAAUGGGGGAAACCCUGAUGCAGCGACGCCGCGUGGAGGAAGAAGGUCUUCGGAUUGUAAAAUCCUGUUGUUGGGGAAGAUAAUGACGGUACCCAACAAGGAAGUGACGGCUAACUACGUG
rnacentral:rRNA from 1 species